rnacentral:rRNA from 1 species
UACGGAGGGUGCAAGCGUUAUCCGGAUUCACUGGGUUUAAAGGGUGCGUAGGUGGGUUGGUAAGUCAGUGGUGAAAUCUCCGUGCUUAACAUGGAAACUGCCAUUGAUACUACUGAUCUUGAAUUUUCAGGAGGUAAGCGGAAUAUGUCAUGUAGCGGUGAAAUGCUUAGAUAUGACAUAGAACACCAAUUGCGAAGGCAGCUUACUACAGGAAUAUUGACACUGAUGCACGAAAGCGUGGGGAGCAAACAGGA